UACGGAAGGGGCAAGCGUUGUUCGGAAUCAUUGGGCGUAAAGGGCGCGUAGGUGGUUCUGUAUGUCUAUCGUGAAAGCGUACGGCUCAACCGUAUUUUGUCGGUAGAAACUGCAGGACUUGAGGCUGGGAGGGGCUGGUGGAAUUCCCUGUGUAGCGGUGAAAUGCGUAGAGAUCUGGAGGAACACCGAUGGCGAAGGCAGCCCCCUGGGCUGACACUGACGCUCAUGCACGAAAGCGUGGGGAGCAAACAGG
rnacentral:rRNA from 1 species